CUGACAGAAAGAGCAGUGAGCA
rnacentral:snRNA from 1 species